AUUGAACGCUGGCGGCAGGCCUAACACAUGCAAGUCGAGCGGAUGAAGGGAGCUUGCUCCUGGAUUCAGCGGCGGACGGGUGAGUAAUGCCUAGGAAUCUGCCUGGUAGUGGGGGAUAACGUCCGGAAACGGGCGCUAAUACCGCAUACUUCCUGAGGGAGAAAGUGGGGGAUCUUCGGACCUCACGCUAUCAGAUGAGCCUAGGUCGGAUUAGAUAGUUGGUGGGGUAAAGGCCUACCAAGCCGACGAUCCGUAACUGGUCUGAGAGGAUGAUCAGUCACACUGGAACUGGGACACGGUCCAGACUACUACGGGAGGCAGCAGUGGGGAAUAUUGGACAAUGGGCGAAAGCCUGAUCCAGCCAUGCCGCGUGUGUGAAGAAGGUCUUCGGAUUGUAAAGAACUUCAAGUUGGGAGGAAGGGCAGUAAGUUAAUACCUUGCUGUUCUGACGUUACCAACAGAAUAAGCACCGGCUAACUUCGUG
rnacentral:rRNA from 1 species